UACGUAGGGCGCAAGCGUUGUCCGGAAUUAUUGGGCGUAAAGAGCUCGUAGGCGGUCUGUCGCGUCCGUUGUGAAAACUCGAGGCUCAACCUCGGGCUUGCAGUGGAUACGGGCAGACUAGAGUGCGGUAGGGGAGACUGGAAUUCCUGGUGUAGCGGUGGAAUGCGCAGAUAUCGGGAGGAACACCGAUGGCGAAGGCAGGUCUCUGGGCCGCAACUGACGCUGAGGAGCGAAAGCAUGGGGAGCGAACAGGA
rnacentral:rRNA from 1 species